GGGGGUAUAGCUCAGUAGGUAGAGCGGUGGUCUUGAAAUCCACGCGUCGGGGGUUCGAUUCCCUCUGCCCA
rnacentral:tRNA from 2 species